rnacentral:rRNA from 1 species
UACGUAGGGACCAAGCGUUGUUCGGAAUUACUGGGCGUAAAGCGCACGUAGGCGGCUUUUUUAAGUCAGGGGUGAAAUCCCGGGGCUCAACCCCGGAACUGCCCUUGAAACUGGAGAGCUAGAAUCUUGGAGAGGCGAGUGGAAUUCCGAGUGUAGAGGUGAAAUUCGUAGAUAUUCGGAAGAACACCAGUGGCGAAGGCGACUCGCUGGACAAGUAUUGACGCUGAGGUGCGAAAGCGUGGGGAGCAAACAGG